CAAUAAGCGGAGGAAAAGAAACCAACAGGGAUUACCUCAGUAACGGCGAGUGAAGCGGUAAUAGCUCAAAUUUGAAAUCUGGCUCUUUCAGGGUCCGAGUUGUAAUUUGUAGAGGAUGUUUCGGGCACGGUUACGGUUUAAAUUUCUUGGAACAGAAUGUCAUAGAGGGUGAGAGUCCCGUCUUGAACCGAUUACUUCGUCCAUGUGAAACUCCUUCGACGAGUCGAGUUGUUUGGGAAUGCAGCUCAAAAUGGGUGGUAAAUUUCAUCUAAAGCUAAAUAUUGGCCAGAGACCGAUAGCGCACAAGUAGAGUGAUCGAAAGAUGAAAAGCACUUUGAAAAGAGAGUUAAACAGUAUGUGAAAUUGUUGAAAGGGAAGCGCUUGUAAUCAGACUUGAGCUUAACAGUUCCCCCUUCGUUCUCGUUGGGUUAUUCUGUUUUGUCCAGGCCAACAUCAGUUCGAGUGGUUGGUUAAAGACUUUGGGAAUGUAUCUACCCUUCGGGGUCGACUUAUAGCCUGGAGUGUCAUGCAGCCUACUUGGACUGAGGAACGCGCUUCGGCUCGGAUGUUGGCGUAAUGGUUAUAAGCGACCC
rnacentral:rRNA from 1 species